rnacentral:lncRNA from 1 species
CAAGGACGAGAUCAAGAACGACGCCUGCGAGCAGGAGGUGCUGUACUUUGAGAAGAUGGAGGUGUCCAACUUCAACAACGACGUCAUCCUGGCCGCCGCCUGCCGCGAGGACGUGCAGAGACUCUGCCCUAACACCCAGCCCGGUGAGUGAGCCGCGUCCUCUCCGGCUGCUGCGGCGGCGGCUUCCUGGGCGCCUCGGCCUUCUGCAAGCCGGCCACGGCACGUCCGGGACCGUACAGCUGACCCCAUGACUGCCCUGCCAAACCGCAUCUUCCCGCCCGGGAAGACUUGUGACGUGGUGGGCUUUCUGAUCAUGCCGGGACUUCUUUGUCCGGCUCGUGCAUGCACCCCUCCAUGACUCCAUUUUCCAUGGGUGGCUACGCCCCUUACGCCCGAUUCUCGCCGUGCCUGCAAAUGGCGCCCACGCAGGCGAGGGCCGCAUGCACGAGUGCCUGCGCGCGCACCGCUCCGAGCUGUCCGACACCUGCCGCAAGGAGGAGCUGCUGCUGGAGGAGCAGGAGGCCGAGAACGUGGAGCUGCGCCCCGGCCUGCUGCGCACCUGCCGCAGCGAGCGCCGCACCUUC